GUUGGAAACGCCAGAUGUGUCUACAGAGGACAAGGGUGAGGACCAGCGGUGCAGAGAUGACCACCGAGAGAUGACUGGAUUUCUAGGACAUGAAUGGGAAGGGCUGCAGGCCGACGGGCAGAGAAGAAGCCCACUUUGUUGCAGAGAAUUGCUGUCAGUUCUAAUUUUAGGCUUCAAUAAACAUGAGGCUACAAGAAACAGUUUAGUUCAGGAAAGAACAAAAGGGCCCAAGUUGGCGGGUGCACGCAAAUUUCAAUUAUUAAAAAAAUUGAAGCAACUUCUGAAUGGUGGCACGCACUUUCUCUCAAACAAGGAUUUCGUGCUUCAUCAGUUUCCAUAGACUUCUGUGGCUUCCAUAAAUAUGUCACCUCACCACUGCAGACAGUCUCUGUUUUCUUGGUCCCCAACAAACUCUUCAUACCAUUUGUAAAAUAUAUAUUCAUUGAUCUC
rnacentral:lncRNA from 1 species